rnacentral:lncRNA from 1 species
CACACACACACACAUAGAUGCUCAGUUUGGCAUGCACGUAUUUUUAUUAAACGGACAAUAUCAGAUGAUGGUUGGUUUGAAAAACACUUUAGCAUAUAGUCAGGGGAGUGUUGAAUCUGGUUAGGACAUGGUUCAAAAUUGAUUUUGUCCAAAGUGCCUUAAAUAUCAUACACUCACAUUUCAAUCCGAGAAAUUAAUUGAAUAAAGUUUAAGCAACAGUUGAAUGAAAUUUUCAUAAUAAUCUUGAGAAUUUUAAGCUGGUUGUGAAGUUGAUUUGAGAGUGAAAUUUGUCCAAAAAUAUUGUGGUAGAUUCAAUUUUCAUUAAAUUUUUAGAUUUUGCAUGAUUAGCGUGUGAAGGCUAUUUCGCAACUUCUCAAUCAGUAGUCUAGACCUAUUUAGUGAAUCAGGGGGCACUUGAAUAGAAGACUUUUAAGAUGGCAACAUUUUGCGAAACAUACUCAAGAGGAUAUGGAAAGAUUUUCAUGCCAUAAAUAAAAAUGUUUAGGAAUCAAUCUAUUGGGGAUUCUUAAAAAAUUAAAUUCCUUUAAUCAGACUACUUGAUGGAAAUUCAAAUUUCAAAUAUGAACGAAGAACAGGUUACCAUAUGGAUUAGAGGUGUAUCUGCAUUAACUGCAUUCUCAAUUUUGGAGAAUAACUCCCCGAUACACGUCCCUCUUUGCAGUUACCAAUAUGUUCUAUAUAAUAGCAUUUUAAUGAAUUUUAUUUAGGGCACACUGUAUCUAAAUCCUUCAUUCUUGAUUUCACUUGAUCUUUGCUUGAGCAUCCUUUUACAGAUACUGAUGCCCAGAACUAAAGGUAAUGUUGGGAAAUUCGAUAAGGCUGGACCAUUCGUUACAACAUCCCCACCCAAACAUUGAAGUGGAUGUCAGAGGCGAACUACUGUUCAUUGUUAUAGUUGGGUCUGCCAACAAUAACCAAACUUACUUAUAACCCUUAAAAUUAACCACCAACAGGUAAAAGAAGAUAACCCAAUAAUUUAAUUGCAAUCAAAUGAAACCAUUACAAUUCAAGAACUGCUGUAGAGAAGAAAAGCUAGAAGAUAGAAAAGAGAAGAAACUAAGAGGAAGCUAAGAGAGGAACUUACGAGAAUAUGAUUCUGACCAAAAACCCUCCUUCCUACCAUCCAGUGUAAUUAUAGGGAAAGAGAAUGAGAAAAGAAAACACGUAAAGGAAAAUAAAGGAAGAAGCGUGUGUUUCACUAUUACAAUUUCUCCUUCAACAAAACGAUGCCAUAUCACUUCAAACAAAAACUACCAUUUCUUCAAUUCAAAUUCCAUUAAGUCGUUACCUCAUCUUCUUUCUUCCUGACUUUGUGAUUCCUUUUCUUCGUCCAUCCUCAACUCCAGUUGGUUUCCUGUCCUCCUCGUUCCUCUCCAUAACAUCCCUCUCCCUUAGAACAACCUUGUCCCCAAGGUUCUAUUAGAGCUUGUUUUUCGCGCACAUGAUGAUCUGGAAAUGCAAGAACUCGGGUAUCCCUAUCCCCAAUCUCCUUCAAAAGGGAGACAUGGAAUACCAGAUGGACUUGAGCUUCCGUUGGCAGUUCCAAUUUAUAUGGAACCUUUCCCAAUUUCUGAAUUACUUUGUAGGGACCAUAAUACUUUGCCACGAGCUUCUUGUUGGUAAGGUCCCAAAGCCAACCGUGGAGGUUGGAUGCCAUAAAGUGCCUCAAAUGGUGUCAUUUUAAUAAAGGUGUGAAGGGUAGUGUUGUACCGCCAUUCAGCUAGAAUAUUCCACUUACUCCAUUGUCUAGGUUGUUUGAAAACCAUGCAUCUCAGGUACAUCUCCAGACAUUGAUUUAAUUUUUCAGUUUACCCAUCUAUUUGGGGAUGGUAAGCCGAACUCAAUUGUAACGUGUCCCUUAUUUGUUUGAACAAUCCUUGCUAGAAUUCACUGGUAAAUAUUUUAUCUCUAUCUGUAACAAUGCUUUGCAGCAUUCCAUGAAGUUUUUAGAUGUUGUCCAAGAACAAUUUUGCUACUGUUUCAGCUGAAUAAGGAAGAAAAUGCCCAUAUUUGGUGAACCUAUCCACUAUAACUAGUAUUACAUUCUUUCCUCCAGAGGUAGGCAGUCCUUCUAUAAAAUCCAUAAAAAUAUGACUCCACGCAUGCUGAGGUUUAGGUAGUGGUUGUAGGAGUCCAGGAUAUGCUAUAUGUUCCCCCUUACACCUUUGACAAGUGUCACACUCCAACACUGCUUGUUUAAUCUCUAUAAUCAUACUAGGCCAGUAAAAGUGACACUUAGCUCUAUGUAUACUAGCUUGAACUCUAGAAUGUCCCCCUUCCUGUGAUGAAUGAAUGACAUUAAUUAAUUUUUUCCUCACUUCUCUUCCAGAACCAACAUAUAGUUUGGAAUUAAAUUUGAGUAAUCCAUUCCUGUAGGUAUAAUCUGGUUUUGAUUGAGUAUUGAAGAGUAGUGCAGUGAUUUUACUUCUAGCCUCAUUAUCCCCUUGAUACUAAUCUUUCACAUCCAACUUGGUACUAUAGUAGUGAUGGCUAACCACUCAACAUCAUUAGUGUGUCUCUCCUGGAUAAGGCUUCAGCCACUUCGUUAUCUAUCCCUUUCUUGUACUGGAUUUCAUAGCUAAGUCCCAAGAGUUUAGUUAACCGUUUCUGUUGCAAGGGGGUAGUAAUUCUUUGUUCUAGCAGGUAUUUAAGUGCUUGAUGAUCUGUCUUAAUGAUGAAAUAGUAUCCUUCCAAAUAGUGUCUCCACUUUCCCACGGCUGUUACCAAGGCUAGAUGCUCAUUCUCAUAAAUGAAUAAACCUAAAUUUCUACUAUUAAUCCCCUUACUCAGAUAGCCUAUGGGUCUUUUAUUUUGCAUCAAUAUAGCCCCAAUCUCCCAUAGCAUACAUCAGUCUCAAUAAUAAAAGGUAUGGCGAAGUCUGGAAGGGCAAAUACAGGUGUGGAACUCAUAGCAAUAUUCAAUUCUUGGAAUGCCAUUUCAGCUGUUUCACCCCGAUUGAAUUUAUCCUUUUUCAGUAUGUUAGUCAAAGGCCUAGCUACAACUCUACAUCCACUCACAAACCUCCUGUAAUGCACUGUGAGGCCUAAGAACCCUCUCAAUUGUUUAAUGUUCAUAGGCUUAGGCCAUUCCUGUAUGGCAACUACCUUAGAGGGAUCAGCAGCCACUCCUUCAGCAGUAAUUACAUGUCCCAAAUAUUCAAUUCUCUGUUGUCCAAAAGAACACUUACUACCCUUUGCAUAAAGUUGAUGUCUCUUCAGUAAUUCUAGGACUUCGGUUACAUGCUCACAAUGAGUUUUAAGGUCGGUGCUGUAGACCAGAAUGUCAUCGAGAAAUACUAAAACAUAUUUUCUAAGUUGAUCUUUGAAUACUUCAUUCAUCGAACAUUGGAACGUAGCAGAAGCAAUGGUGAGUCCAAAUGGCAUCACCCUAAACUCAUAGAGUCCUUCACGAGUCUUGAAAGCAAUUUUGUGGAUAUCCUCUUCUGCUACUUUGAUUUGGUGGUACCCUACCAUAAAGUCUAUCUUGGUGAGCCAUUUUGUCCCCUUUAAUUCAUCUAUUAGUUCAUCAAUCAAUGGCAUAGGGCACUUAUCUUUAAUAUUCAAAUUAUUGAGCUUCUUGUAAUCCACACAAAAUCUCCAAGUCCCAUCUGCUUUCUUUGCUAGAAGAACUGGAGUGGCAUAGAGACUAUUCUUUGAUUCUAUCAUUCUACUUUCUUUUGUUUCUUUUACCAUUCUCCCAAUUUAUGUCUUUUGUACAUAUGGACAUCUGUAAGGUCUAAGUUUAAAGGGCCGUGCUCCUUCUUUGAUUAGUAUAUGAUGAUCAUUAAAUCUAGCAGAAGGCAAUCCUUUUGGUUCUGAAAAAACUAGGGAAAACCAGUCCACUACAGCUUGUACUUCAGCUGGCACAACUUUUGAUCCCUUAUCAUGCUGAGGGUGAUUUGGGCUAUUACCCAUAGUUUUGACUCGUGAGCCAACUCUUCUACUCCACCUCAAUCAUCAUUUUGAACUUUUCUUUGAUGACCUCACUAUAUAGUUCAAUUUUAGAGAGCACAGGAUUGAAUUGGCUUAGCCAAUCUAACCCCAAUACCUUAUCACUCCCUCCUAGCUUAAGUACGCUCACUUGAUAUUGGAAUUCUAAAUUAUUCGUUCUCCAGACCAACAGUUUGUAUACAGCCCCACUGAUCAACUUUUCUCCACCUGCCGCUGUCACGGAUACAGGUUUUACCUGUUGAAUUCUACAAUUGAUAUUGCUUGCCAGCUGCUCAUCUAUGAAGCUGUGGGUACUCCCGCCAUUAAUCAAGAUGGAGAUUCUUCUUCCCUUUAUCCUUCCAGGGGGCUUUAUAGUUCUAGUUCUAUUGCGAUCCACUAAGACAUGGAUGGAAAUUUCCAUUAUCUCCUCCGAAUCUUCUUCUACCUCCUGCCCUCCUUUAUCCUUAAGCGAUUCAUCAACAUCAUUCCUUUCCUCGUCAUCCACCAAAAUGAAGUUCUACACCUGAUUUUUACACAUAUGAUCCCUAGUGUACUGUUCAUUACACUUGUAACACAAUCCCAAUUCUCUUUUUGUUUGGAAAUCUGAUGAUGCGAUGGCUUUAAAUUUUAGGGGUUUGGUAGAAUUUUUGGGGCUUGGUUCUAAAUGAGGGGUGGAUUUAUUAUGGCUAGUUUCUUUGGUUUGAAAUUGGAUUGAUGGUGUUCUCUUGUGAGUAGGGCUUAUACGGUUUGGUUUCUCUGUUUAGAGCAUUGAUGGUGUUCUCUUGGAAAAUAGCCAUUUCAAAAGCUUUAGCUAAAGUAGUAGGUUCGAUAAUUUUCACCAUUGAUUUUAUCUCCUCCUUCAAUCCACUAGUGGAAAUUGAUAUAUAGUAAGACUCAGGUAGGUGGGGAUAAAGCCAACAUUACCUAGGAUUUUAACUCCUCAAAUUGCUCCUGGUAAUCAAUGAUGGAUCAUUUUUGUCUUAACUUGCUGAAUAUCUCAAUAACCUCCUCAGCUGUAUUCUCAGCAAAUCUUCUACAUAAUUUAAUAGAUAACAACCCCCAAUCUGUAUUUGGGUGACUAGUUAUAAAACCAUGGAACCAUAUAUCUGAUUUUCCCUUAAGUACAUUUUAGCUAUACCUACUCUUAACUCAUCAGGCACUUGAUGCAUUUGAAAAUACUUUCUGGCCUUUCUUAACCAUUCUCUAGGGCAUUCUCCACAGAAGUAAGUGAAGUCUAUUUUGGGGAUUUUGGUAUUCAUCCUGUAGCCCAUCUUAACACUCUCCUGAGAAGAAUAAUGUCCUGCGCCACAAUUUAGUAUUUUCCUUUCAGAUACAAUUGGAGUUGGGAGCUCUUCUAUGUAAAUUCAUUUUCCAUUCUCUGAGUGAUUCCUCGAACUAUAAUUCAGUGUUUCUCCACUCAUUUUGGCCAACAUUCCAACAAUAUUCUCAUACAUCUGGUUCAUCUCUGUCAUCAAUCCUUUAAGUAUAUCCUACCUUCUACACUGAUGCUUCACAUCCUAAUCCGUACUCUGGUAAACCACACUCAGAUCCCCUAGCUACUUUUCGAUCGUUUUAACUUGUUUUUCAUGUGUUUUGCUUCGAGCCUCCAUCUCCCCAACUUACGUACUGCUCUGAUACCAAAUGUUAUAGUUAGGUCUGCUAACAAUAGCCAAACUCACUUAUAACCCUUAAAAUUAACCACCAACAGGUAAAAGGAGAUAACCCAGUAAUUUAAUUGUAAUCAAAGAAACCAUUACAAUUCAAGAACUGCUGUAGAGAAGAAAAGAUAGAAGAUAGAAAAGAGAAUGAACUAAGAAAAAGCUAAGAGAGGAACUUACGAGAAUAUGAUUCUGACAAAAAAUCCUUCUUCUUGCCGUCCAGUGCAGUUAUAACCAAAAGGGAAUGAGAAAAAACACACGUAAAGGAAAAUAAAGGAAUGAGCGUGUUUUCCACUAUUGCAAUUUCUCCUUCAAUAAAACGACGCCGUGUUACUUAAAACAAAAACUGCCCUUUCUUCCAUUCAAAUUCCGUUAAGCUGUUACUUCAUCUUCUUUCUUCCUGGCUCUGUGAUUCAUUUUUUUCCUCCAUCUCCAACUCUAGUUGGUUUCCUGUCCUCCUUGUUUCUCUCCAUAACAUUCAUGAACCGUUUCCAUCUAAACCUACCCAAUUGGAUCAAGAAGAGGCAAUGGCCAAUAUGCCACUACACAGGAGGAGGCAUCUGAGUCAGACAACACUAAAGAAAGUAAACCAUCGAUCACCAAUCGUCGAAUAUGUCAUUUAAAUGAACCUGUGUCAUACCCUAGUAAGAACGUUUUGAUACCUGAGCCUUACUCUGAACCCUCUUAGGGAAGUAGAGAUGAUAACAAUAUAGAUUAUGUUAAGAACACUGACGAAAAGAUAGAUUGCUAUCAAGGGUUUGGCGACGAGGAGAAAAGUCUUGACGCACUAGAUAAACCAAAUUUUGAAAAAGUUCAAACCACUGCAUUUGUUGAAGGGGAUUCCCAAAAAUCUGAUUCGAGAUUUGAACCCUUGGCUAAAGAGUCUGACACUUUCUCUAAGUCGACACUACAACCAAACAACAAGGCUACCAGGGAAGAAAAUUGAAAAUAGAAGGUUAGCGAAUGGACCACGCCACACACUUCUGCUAGUAAGUCUGCACCUCUUGCCUCAAGUGGUGGUGCCUACAAAGUACUGGAGACACCUGUGCGCGUCUGAGCCUACGUUAUUAAGGUUCGAUACCUUCUCGCGAGGUAGGCAAUCUAUUAAUUCUUUUAGUUAUCAAUUUCUCUUGAAGGAUAAUGAAAAUUUACAUAUAUCCUUUACCGCUAACUAAACUUUCAUUAAGGAGUUCAAGGAAAACUUGGAGGAGUUCAUGUUGAAUGUUGUGAAGGAGGUCUAACCGAAUAUUCGAAAGAACAUUGCUCAAAUGGAAAAUCCAUUUUGAUGGACACCUAUAUCCGAUAAAGGUUGGUAAAGUUCAGUCCAUUUGUCAUGAGGGAUUGGUGGGACUUGAUGAAGUACUUGAGAGAACAAAGACGAGUUAACCACCGACGCUAACAAGAAGGAACUAGCCUAACCAGGUUGAUUUGCCAGUCACUAGAUUAACUAAGAAUUAUUCAAGAUCUUGCACAAUUUGGAUCCUCUCACGCAUUGUUCUGAUCUUUCUCAUGAUAGGGCUGUUAUAUUGUUUAUAUUGGGAACAAAAAUGCCUUUAAACUUAAUCAAGUUGAUUUUUGACAAGAUCAUCUAUGAAGGGCCAAAGAGAGCCAAACAGUAUAAACUCCAAUAUCCGAAUAUAAUCAUCACUUCCUCUUUGAUUUGGAGAUACCAUCUAAUCAAUUUCUACAUUGAUUCUAGGACUUAGAGUGACAGAGUUUGGUAAUAGGGAUGGCAUCCCAACUUCUAUCCUUAGGGUAUCUAGGAAUACUCCUUUCCAUGACAUUUCGAAACGACUCGAAGUGUUCGAAAAUCAGCUAGGCAUUGUGAAAAAUUAGGUUGGGAAAAUCCUACUCUAUAACCAGAAAUUUUCUAACGAGCUCAUGCUUGUGUGCAGUUAGUAGAGUCCCUGGCCUAUCUUGGUGUUCAUGAAUUAAAACGGCCAAGGUUAGGAGCACUCUAGGAUUUCCAGAGUUUGUCCUUGGUUGCCCUUAUCAUGGACUUACCAAACCUGUAAAGUUAGGAUUCAGCCAUCUACUGCUACUAGUCCCUCUCAGAACGUACCAGAAUGGCAGGUUUCUGACUUACCUCCUCCAAGACAUACUGGCGAUAGUUAGCGUGUAGACCCUGCUCCAUCUCGCAAGUGUGGUCGUGAGGGAAAAUCAUCUGAGACUAAGUAAGCCAAAAAGCAAUGAUGGCUGGUUAUACUUCUCUAACUUCUAAACUAUUUGCUCUAGUUAUUUCGUGGAUUGUACAACUUAAACUAACUAUUUGAUAUAUAUUCUCGGUGGAUGGUUUGCUUAUUUCCUCGUCGUUAUAGUGGGCUAUCUUAAUUUCGAAAAAG